rnacentral:misc_RNA from 1 species
CCCAUGUUUUCUCGUGACAAUGGCGUCAACUGGGGGGAUUACGCUAACCUGUAUGGCGUUCAUCCAUUUUACAUGUGUGUGGAGGAUGAUGAUGGAAACUCGAAUGGCGUACUGUUGCUGAACAGUAAUGCUAUGGAAGUGGUGUUUAGUCCUCGGCCAUCUCUUACAUACAGAACAGUUGGAGGCAUUCUCGAUUUUUAUGUCUUCAUGGGAUCCAAUCCAGAAAAUGUAAUUCGGGAGUACACAGGGGUAAUUGGACGACCGUACCUACCACCAUAUUGGGCGUUGGGCUUUCAGUUAAGUCGAUACGGAUACAACACUUUAGACAACUUGAAGUCGGCAACAAAGAGAAUGGUUGACAACGACAUUCCACUAGAUGUUCAAUAUGCGGACAUAGAUCAUAUGGAUGAACGGAAGGAUUUCACCAUUGAUGAAGUUAAUUUUAAAAAUAUAUCAGGAUAUGUUAAAGAACUUCAGCAACAAAAUAUGCAUUUCAUUAUCAUUCUUGAUCCCGCUCUAAUUAGCAAUGAAACAAAUUACUAUCCUUAUGAAAAUGGAAAAGGAAGAAUGUUCAUUAAAUGGCCUAGUUUAAAUAAUGAUACCCGAAGCGGCCAGGACAUGCUUGGAUAUGUUUGGCCAAAAGGAAAAGUCGUUUUCCCAGAUUUCCUAAAAAACGAAACGCGUGAAUAUUGGAAAGAUUUGAUUGUCAGACAUCAUACAAAUUUGUCAUUUGAUGGAUUAUGGAUUGAUAUGAACGAACCAGCAAACUUUGGAACAAACGAAGAACGACCGUUUAAUUGGCCAGAGAAGGACAAGCCUUAUUGGUCUUUGAAGUGUCCAGCCUCUGAACUGGACGAUCCUCCAUACAAACCAAGGGGCGUGUUCGGGCCUCGUUUGUCAGACAAAACACUAUGUAUGGUAGCCCUACAAAACGAUGGCGCCUACCAACACUAUGAUGUCCAUAGUCUGUAUGGUUGGAGCGAAACGGAGCCAACACUGUAUGGACUGAGGAAGGCUACAGAAGGAAACAAAAGAGGUAUUGUCAUAACCCGGUCUACCUAUCCAUCAAGUGGGAAAUACGCUGGUCACUGGCUAGGUGAUAACGACAGUAAAUGGCCUGAUGUGCACGACUCCAUCAUCGGACUCCUGGAAUUCAACCUCUUUGGUAUUCCGUACAUCGGAGCCGACAUCUGCGGAUUUUUUGGACAUCCUUCUGCAGAACUCUGUGAAAGAUGGAUGCAACUUGGGGCGUUUUACACAUUUUCUAGAAAUCACAAUACGAUUAACACGAAAGAUCAGGAUCCUGCUAUUUUUGGUCCAGCAAAUGCUGACUCUGCCAGGCGAGCUUUGAACUUGCGGUAUUCGCUCUUGCCUUACCUAUACACUUUGUUUUACGAGGUUAACUCUAAUGGCGGUACGGUGAUCCGAUCCAUGAUGCAAAGUUUCCCCAAAGACAUCAAGUCGCGCAACAUCGAUACUCAAUUCAUGUGGGGACCGGCCAUUAUGAUCGCUCCCGUUCUCAGCGCAGGGAAAAUUGAGGUGGAAGUAUAUUUUCCGGGGGGUAGGUGGUUUGACUUCACAUCCGGUGAACUUAUCAGUGAGGGGGAUAAGAAGACAGUGACCGUUUCUGCUCCACGAGACAAAAUUCCUGUCUUUGUUCGAGAAGGUUACAUCAUUCCAACCCAGUUACAUGGUGCUAACACCGAAGUCGCAAGAAAGAAUCCUAUGGAUAUAAUUAUCAUUCCGGACGAAAACGGAAAAGCAGAAGGAAAACUAUUCCUGGACGAUGGAGAUACUAUAGAUACCGUGGAAAAUGGGAAGUUCUAUUUGUCGUCAUUUAAAUUCAAUGGCACAUAUUUUUCAAUGACAAUUACCACCCACAAUGAAACUAUGGUUGACAGCAUUCGUGUGGGAAGUAUGACUAUAUUCGGCAUUAGGAGAGAAAUAACUAGUGUUACAGUUAACAACGCCAAUAAACUCUUUGAGAAAUUAAAACCACAUAAUAAAUUGUACAUUAAAGACUUGGGCGUCACACUGCAAAAUAACGUUGAAGUAGUUUUAAAAUGAUAAAUAAAGAAGCUUUAGUCCAUUUAUAGAUAUACACAUGUAUAUAGUUACUAGUAUAUAAAGUAGUAUUGAUAGAUAACUGAAGCUAUUGCACGCAUAUGUAAGACUAGUACAUAUUUAGCGUAGGAAAUUUAUAUACUGUUAAUUCUGUUGAUAUCGGUUUCAAUGCUGUUUUAUUACUGCUUAAAUGGAUAAAUUUUUUCAUAAAAUAAAUUCAAUCUAUUU